UCAGUCUGUACCUACCAGCACAUUAGGGUGCUACAGCACAAUGCACUUCAUAAAGCUGUUCUGAGUGUUGAUGAGUAUGGAUCUAAGGCUGCAGGAGCAACAGCUCUGGAGAUUCGGGUCAUGUCGCUUUCUCCAUCUGUCGUGUUCAACAGGCCAUUCUUAUUAGUUAUCUACCAUCGUACAACUAGAAGCGUACCCUUCAUCGGAAAGAUUGUAAACCCGACUGCCUAGAUUUAUGCAUUCUUUGAGUGUUUUUAACCACAAUAAAAUAACAGCUAUCUUGA